CCUCACCAGGUGCCCUCGGCUGAAGCGUCUCACCCUAUCCGGCGGCGUCCCUGACACCGGGAGCCUGGAGCCCCUCACCAGGUGCCCUGAGCUGCGGUGGCUCACCCUGUCCGGCGGCGUCCCUGACGCCGUGCUGGACAGUCUCAGCAGCUGCCCCGGGCUGGAGUACCUUACACUGGGGGACCGCCAGCGGCCGGCAGAGACGGCCUUCACAGCAGCAGCGGUCACCAGACUGGUGAAGUCGUGUCGGAAGCUGUGGGUUCUGUACCUUCACUGCACGGCAGACACCACCCGGGCCGUGCUGACCGCCCUGAAGGAGACGGACCUGGGCCGGGACAGUUUUGGCCGGUCCCGUAUCAUCUGUCUCAAUGUCCCCGAGGAGCUGUACCGUCAGCUGAAGAGACAGGAAGGCGGUGGGGUCAAAGUGUGGGAGUGGGAGGAUUGAUGCGCUGCACUACCGACCGUGCAGUGAUGAGCUGACUGCAGAGAGGCCGAGCCAGUCGGCCGGGGCCGCCAGCUGACUGCUGCCGUGUGUGCUGCACCAGCCGGCACUGAGAGCGGCGCCGGUCAUGCAGCCGGCACACGGCCCCGGUGUCCGCUCUAGUGUAGUGAUCUAGUUGUAGUAGUAGUAGUGUAGAUGUAGUAGCAUCACACGGAUGUGAUGCAGUGGGUUAUUACCGGGUGGGUAUUGUUGGUAAUUGGACCAGAGAUGUGAUGUAGUGGGUAAGUACCGGGUGGGUAUUGUGGGUAAUUGGACAGUGAAAAGUGAUGUAGUGGGUAAUUACCGGGUGGGUACUGUGGGUGAUUGGACAGUAAAAAGUGAUGUGCUGGAGAGACUACCGAUUGUGGCAUUACGCUAUUCUGUAUGUAGAACACACGUCUCUGACCGUCCGACUCGGUUCACCGCGCCUGGUCCCGGCGGCACGGCCGGCCUCGGUCACGUGACCGUCCCC